rnacentral:rRNA from 1 species
UACGAAGGGGGGCUAGCGUUGCUCGGAAUUACUGGGCGUAAAGGGCGCGUAGGCGGGUACUUAAGUCAGAGGUCAAAUCCCAGGGCUCAACCCUGGAACUGCCUUUGAUACUGGGUACCUAGAGUUCGGGAGAGGUGUGUGGAACUCCGAGUGUAGAGGUGAAAUUCGUAGAUAUUCGCAAGAACACCAGUGGCGAAGGCGGCUCACUGGCCCAUUACUGACGCUGAGGCACGAAAGCGUUGGGGAGCAAACAGG